GUGUCAGCAGCCGCGGUAAGACGAACCGUCCGAACGUUGUUCGGAAUCACUGGGCUUAAAGGGCGCGUAGGCGGGCUGGCCAGUCCGGGGUGAAAGCCCCCGGCUCAACCGGGGAAUGGCCUUGGAUACUGCCAGCCUUGAGGGAGGUAGGGGCUCGUGGAACUUCUGGUGGAGCGGUGAAAUGCGUUGAUAUCAGAAGGAACGCCGGUGGCGAAAGCGACGAGCUGGCCCUCUACUGACGCUGAGGCGCGAAAGCUAGGGGAGCAAACGGGAUUAGAAACCCCCGUAGUCC
rnacentral:rRNA from 1 species